UACAGAGGGUGCGAGCGUUAAUCGGAGUUACUGGGCGUAAAGGGCGCGUAGGCGGCGAUAUAUGUGUGGUGUGAAAGCCCCGGGCUCAACCUGGGAAGUGCACCGCAAACUGUAUAGCUGGAGUAUAUGAGAGGGCGGCGGAAUUUCCGGUGUAGCGGUGAAAUGCGUAGAGAUCGGAAGGAACGUCGAUGGCGAAGGCAGCCGCCUGGCAUAAUACUGACGCUGAGGCGCGAAAGCGUGGGGAGCGAACAGG
rnacentral:rRNA from 1 species